rnacentral:rRNA from 1 species
GUCCACGCCGUAAACGAUGAGUGCUAGAUGUCGCUGGUAUUGACCCCGGCGGUAUCGCAGCUAACGCGUUAAGCACUCCGCCUGGGGAGUACGGCCGCAAGGCUAAAACUCAAAGGAAUUGACGGGGGCCCGCACAAGCGGUGGAGCAUGUGGUUCAAUUCGACGCAACGCGAAGAACCUUACCUGGGUUGGAACCCCCGAGUCGCAGAGAUGUGGAUUUGCCCGCAAGGGAGCCGGUGUCCAGGUGCUGCAUGGCUGUCGU